rnacentral:rRNA from 1 species
AGCGAACGCUGGCGGCAGGCUUAACACAUGCAAGUCGAGCGGGCAUCCUUGUGGUGUCAGCGGCAGACGGGUGAGUAACGCGUGGGAACGUGCCCUUCGGUUCGGAAUAACUCAGGGAAACUUGAGCUAAUACCGGAUACGCCCUUUUGGGGAAAGGUUUACUGCCGAAGGAUCGGCCCGCGUCUGAUUAGCUAGUUGGUGAGGUUAUGGCUCACCAAGGCGACGAUCAGUAGCUGGUCUGAGAGGAUGAUCAGCCACACUGGGACUGAGACACGGCCCAGACUCCUAUGGGAGGCAGCAGUGGGGAAUAUUGGACAAUGGGGGCAACCCUGAUCCAGCCAUGCCGCGUGAGUGAUGACGGCCUUAGGGUUGUAAAGCUCUUUUCUCCGGGACGAUAAUGACGGUACCGGAGGAAUAAGCCCCGGCUAACUUCGUG